CCCUUAGAUGUUCUGGGCAGCACGCGCGCUACAAUGGUCUUCGCAAACGGAUGCAUUCUCGAAGGAGAAUGCCAAUCUUGGAAUCUAUGCCUUGGUCGGGACAGUUGCUUGCAAUUUUUCGACUCGAACCAGGAAUUCCUUGUAAUCGUGAUUCAUCACAUCACGAUGAAUACGUCCCUGCCCUUUGUACACACCGCCCGUCGCUCCUACCGAUCGAAGAGUUAGGUGAAUUGUUUUGAUCGAUAAGAUUUGACUAUGGUCAACUCUCGUUGUGCAAUUCUGUGAAUCUGACUGUUUAGAGGAAGGAAAAGUCGUAACA
rnacentral:rRNA from 1 species